GUAUCCUUUAAGUUAGUCCCGUGAGGCUAAGAAGGAAGUGAGCAAAUAGAAUCGUUAUCUGCGGAUAAACUGAAUGCUAUUUGAAGAGACUAAGUGUGUCUUUUUAUAGGACACGUGUAUAGUUGUACAUUCACUCCUGCCUUACUUGGGCAGGAGUUUUUUUUAU
rfam:Enterococcus saccharolyticus ATCC 43076 genomic scaffold acpML-supercont1.1, whole genome shotgun sequence.